GUGCUCACUUCAGCACAUCUACUAAAACUGGAACCCUACACAAAAGAUUAGCAUGGCCCCUAUGCAUGGAUAACACACAAAUUUGAGAAGUGCUCCCUAUUAAA